GGAUUAUCUCAUGUAUUUUUUCUUGAUUGCUUCCUUUUGAAUUUUCAGACUAUUUCAAAACCAGUCAAGGAUGCUUCUGAGCUCCCAAAGUGGAACUACGAUGGAUCAAGUACUGGACAAGAACCAGGAGAAGACAGUGAAGUCAUUUUAUAUCCUCAGGCAAUAUUCAAAGACCCUUUCUGUGGUGGUAACAACAUCUUGGUUAUCUGUGAUGCCUACACACCAACUGGAGAGCCAAUUCCUACAAACAAACACCAUAAAGUUGCUCAAAUUUUUAGCAACCCAAAAGUUGCA